rnacentral:lncRNA from 1 species
AUCAGUGUUUAAUUUUUUUCAAUUUUUUUUGUGUCAGUUAAUUGCUACGUAUCUUAGUUAGGCUGUCAGAAGAUAAACGUAAGUAUGCAGCAAAACUAUUAAUAGUAGGUUGUGAUUGCCCCUAUACAAUUCACGAAGAGUAUUGGUGCAAUGGACUUAGCAUCGCAGGAAAAAUGCCACUGGUAACCAAUCUUGAUUUGGUAAAUUACCUGCUAUGUUCCAAGUCUCCAUACACGCAUGAAGAUUUAAAGGCUUA